UACCUUUAGUUGCCAUCAGGUAAUGCUGGGGACUCUAAAGGAACUGCCUACGCAAGUAGUGAGGAAGGCGGGAUGACGUCAAAUCAGCACGGCCCUUACGUCCAGGGCUACACACGUGCUACAAUGGCCGAUACAGAGGGCAGCUACCUGGUGACAGGAUGCAAAUCUCCAAAGUCGGUCUCAGUUCGGAUCGGAGUCUGCAACCCGACUCCGUGAAGUUGGAUUCGCUAGUAAUCGCGCAUCAGCCAUGGCGCGGUGAAUACGUUCCCGGGCCUU
rnacentral:rRNA from 1 species